AACGUAGGUUCCGAGCGUUAUCCGGAUUUACUGGGCGUAAAGCGCGUUCAGGCGGUUUGGCAAGUCGGGCAUGAAAUCUCUCGGCUCAACCGGGAGAGGUUGUCCGAUACUGCUGGACUUGAGGGCAGUAGAGGGUGGUGGAAUUCCGGGUGUAGUGGUGAAAUGCGCAGAUAUCAGGAAGAACACCAAUGGCGAAAGCAGCUCUCUGGGACGGUACUGACGCUGAGACGCGAAAGCGUGGGGAGCGAACAGG
rnacentral:rRNA from 1 species